AGAGUUUGAUCCUGGCUCAGGAUGAACGCUGGCGGCGUGCCUAAUACAUGCAAGUCGAACGCACGAUCAAGCUUGCUUGAGAGUGAGUGGCGAACGGGUGAGUAAUACAUAAGCAACCUGCCCACGAAGACCGGGAUAACUUCUGGAAACGGGAACUAAGACCGGAUAGGUACAAGGAAGGCAUCUUCCCUGUAUUAAAGGUGAGAAACACUGGUGGAUGGGCUUAUGGCGCAUUAGCUGAUUGGUGAGGUAACGGCCCACCAAGGCGAUGAUGCGUAGCCGGCCUGAGAGGGUGAACGGCCACAUUGGGACUGAGACACGGCCCAGACUCCUACGGGAGGCAGCAGUAGGGAAUUUUCGGCAAUGGGGGCAACCCUGACCGAGCAACGCCGCGUGAAGUGAAGACGGCCUUCGGGUUGUAAAGCUCUGUUGUAAGGGAAGAACGGCAUGGAGAGGAUCCAUGAGUGACGGUACCUUACCAGAAAGCCACGGCUAACUACGUGCCAGCCGCAGC
rnacentral:rRNA from 1 species